UGAAGAAGUAAUUAUGUGGCGCUCGACAAAUUUAAGAAUAUUGUCCUGGGCUUGUUGCUCAGUAAUAUGAACUAUGUCAGUGGAUUUAACGGCAACUCCAUUUUUGUAUUCAAUUGCCCAAGGUUUGACUUUACACUGUUGAAAUGCAGCAUCAUUAGGGACCAAGACAGUGAUAUGCUGAUCUUUUUGUUGGAAGAGAUGAACAUAAUCAGGAAACUGCAUUAUAAGCUCAGAAAAAAUGUUGCAAUCUCUUGUUUCGGCAAGCAAUUCAAAGAGCCUUGGUUCACGAACUUCUUGCAUAUUGAUAGGUCUUUGGUUAAAAGAGAGUACUGCACUAAUAAAACUCGUAGUAUAAAGGAAACGAAAGAUGUUUAGACAAAACAGCUUCAUCAUUUUGGAGGGUGUUAUUAAAGACACACUGCUUUAACAAAUGGUAAUCUUAAAAAGAAAAAAUCAAUUG